UACGUAGGGUGCAAGCGUUGUCCGGGUUCACUGGGUGUAAAGGGUGCGCAGGCGGGCUCUUAAGUCAAAGGUGAAAUCUCUCGGCUUAACCGAGAAAUUGCCUUUGAUACUGAGAGCCUUGAGUACGGGAGAGGGAGAUGGAAUUCCAGGUGUAGCGGUGAAAUGCGUAGAUAUCUGGAGGAACACCGGAGGCGAAGGCGGUCUCCAGGCCCGUUACUGACGCUCAGGCACGAAAGCGUGGGGAGCAAACAGG
rnacentral:rRNA from 1 species